rnacentral:rRNA from 1 species
UACAGAGGGUGCGAGCGUUGUCCGGAAUCACUGGGCGUAAAGGGCGCGUAGGUGGCGGCCCAAGUCCAUGGUGAAAGCUCGAUGCUCAACAUCGAGUCGGCCACGGAUACUGGGUUGCUCGAGCACUGUAGGGGCAGAUGGAAUUCCGGGUGUAGCGGUGGAAUGCGUAGAGAUCCGGAAGAACACCGGUGGCGAAGGCGGUCUGCUGGGCAGUUGCUGACACUGAGGCGCGACAGCGUGGGGAGCAAACGGG